ACCACUUUAGCUAACACAUCACUACAUAAUUUCCCUUAUAGAAAUUUUACCAUUAAAUCCUUAGGAAGAAGAACAUUGUGAAAAGGCAACUUCUCCAGUGUGUUAUUCAACACCCUUGGUGUUUCAGUGGCAUAGGGAUAGAAAUAUUUCAGGAAUCUGAUCAAUUUUCACGUUUUUUUUUUUAAUUUAUUUUUUAGUUGUAGUUGGACACAAUACCUUUAUUUUUAUGUGGUGCUGAGGAUUGAACCCACGUGUCAGGUGAGCACUCUACUGCUGAGCCACAACCCCUGCCCAAACUUCACAUUUCUUUUAUCAACUCGUCUCUCAAAAAAGACGUUUGUGUAGCACUGGGCAACUCAACAGCGAUCUGAAAUUUUGCUUCCUACUCUGGGACAUGAGGAUAAUUAAGCUUGCCCAGAUAAUGCAGGGGAGAGACAAGAUGAGAACAAAUACCUUUCCUCUGGCCACUUUUUCCAUUGCAAUCUCCUACUAUUUCUCCAUUCCCAGCCGUAACCACCCACCUCCCACUACACAUGAAUUAAAGCUAACUUAAAUAUCUUAGAAUUUCCCCUAGGUUUUGUUGUUUAUUGUUAUUUUAAAAAUGUUUGUUAAGUCCUGAAAUCCAUGUUUUUGCUUGUCUUCUGCAACCAAAUUUAGAAAUCAUUUAGAUUAUAAUCAAGACUUUUGGCAUCUUAUUUAAGAAAAACAUCCUCAUAUAAACUACUGAAACUAUUUUCCUAAUAAUUUCAAAGUUUUGUUUUAGAUAUUAAAGGCUUAAUUCAUCUGCUUGUAUAUAAGGUGUGGUUAGGGUUCAAGAAAUUUUCCAUGUUGAUAAUCACUUAUAUGCUUCAUUUAUUGAUCUUUUCCUCUUUUCUCUCUUAAUAUAUCACUUCUGUAAUGUCAAAAUUCCAUACAUAUGUGGAUUUGUGUCUUGGUUUUCUACUCUAUUCUGGUGUUCAAGUUUUCUAGUUCUGUGCUAAUAUUGCUCUGUCUUCAUCACUUGAUAGUUAAAUUGCUUGUAAAUAUUUUAUAUUGUUGGAUUCUGUUAUUAUUGGUACCAUUCUGAUUUUAAUUUCUAAAUUUUAAUGAUAUGUAUAGAAAUAAGUGGGCUUUCUUUUGAUAUUAAAUCCUGC
rnacentral:lncRNA from 1 species